ACCUCAACACCUUAACUAGCCUCUAUCUCCAGGUCAGAAUCCUUCCAAAUAUAUAAUAUAUAAAAUAUAUGCCAUUUAGCAGACGCUUUUAUCCAAAGCGACUUACAGUCAUGUGUGCAUACAUUCUACGUAUGGGUGGUCCCGGGAAUCGAACCCACUACCCUGGCGUUACAAGCGCCAUGCUCUACCAACUGUGCUACAGAAGGUUCCAAUAGAACUUCAGAAACCAGGCCCCAAUUUCACAAAGUUCAUCAGAUUAGAAGUGGUGGGUACUUAUAUUUGUCCUGUUUCACACAUGUACAAGUGUGUUUUAAUUUGAAAUGUGUUUUUUUGCAUAUGCCAACUCCCUCUGAGACACCCUAGGAGAGUGUGGUCACGGCCAGAAGAGGGAAUAAGAGGGGGGACAGAUCAUCUCCUACUCUGAGACACUUUAUAAAUACAGGCCCUGGUCUCUUCCAGGUUCCAGUAAUAAUACAGGCUUGUCUUCAGGUUCAUGAAUAAUACAGGCUUGUGUUGUCUUCAGGUUCAUUAAUAAUACAGGCUUGUCUUCAGGUUCAUUAAUAAUACAGGCUUUUGUUGUCUUCAGGUUCAUUAAUAAUACAGGCUUGUCUUCAGGUUCAUUAAUAAUACAGGCUUGUGUUGUCUUCAGGUUCAUUAAUAAUACAGGCUUGUGUUGUCUUCAGGUCCAUUAAUAAUACAGGCUUGUGUUGUCUUCAGGUCCAUUAAUAAUACAGGCUUGUGUUGUCUUCAGGUCCAGUAAUAAUACAGGCUUGUGUUGUCUUCAGGUCCAUUAAUAAUACAGGCUUGUGUUGUCUUCAGGUCCAGUAAUAAUACAGGCUUGUCUUCAGGUCCAUUAAUAAUACAGGCUUGUGUUGUCUUCAGGUCCAUUAAUAAUACAGGCUUGUGUUGUCUUCAGGUCCAGUAAUAAUACAGGCUUGUCUUCAGGUUCAUUAAUAAUACAGGCUUGUGUUGUCUUCAGGUCCAUUAAUAAUACAGGCUUGUGUUGUCUUCAGGUUCAUUAAUAAUACAGGCUUGUGUUGUCUUCAGGUCCAUUAAUAAUACAGGCUUGUGUUGUCUUCAGGUCCAGUAAUAAUACAGGCUUGUCUUCAGGUUCAUUAAUAAUACAGGCUUGUGUUGUCUGCAGGUUCAUUAAUAAUACAGGCUUGUGUUGUCUUCAGGUCCAGUAAUAAUACAGGCUUGUCUUCAGGUUCAUUAAUAAUACAGGCUUGUGUUGUCUUCAGGUCCAUUAAUAAUACAGGCUUGUGUUGUCUUCAGGUUCAUUAAUAAUACAGGCUUGUGUUGUCUUCAGGUCCAUUAAUAAUACAGGCUUGUGUUGUCUUCAGGUCCAGUAAUAAUACAGGCUUGUCUUCAGGUUCAUUAAUAAUACAGGCUUGUGUUGUCUUCAGGUUCAUUAAUAAUACAGGCUUGUGUUGUCUUCAGGUCCAGUAAUAAUACAGGCUUGUCUUCAGGUUCAUUAAUAAUACAGGCUUGUGUUGUCUUCAGGUCCAUUAAUAAUACAGGCUUGUGUUGUCUUCAGGUCCAGUAAUAAUACAGGCUUGUCUUCAGGUUCAUUAAUAAUACAGGCUUGUGUUGUCUUCAGGUUCAUUAAUAAUACAGGCUUGUGUUGUCUUCAGGUUCAUUAAUAAUACAGGCUUGUGUUGUCUUCAGGUCCUGUAAUAAUACAGGCUUGUGUUGUCUUCAGGUCCUGUAAUAAUACAGGCUUGUGUUGUCUUCAGGUCCAUUAAUAAUACAGGCUUGUGUUGUCUUCAGGUUCAUUAAUAAUACAGGCUUGUCUUCAGGUUCAUUAAUAAUACAGGCUUGUGUUGUCUUCAGGUCCAGUAAUAAUACAGGCUUGUGUUGUCUUCAGGUCCAUUAAUAAUACAGGCUUGUGUUGUCUUCAGGUCCAUUAAUAAUACAGGCUUGUGUUGUCUUCAGGUCCAUUAAUAAUACAGGCUUGUGUUGUCUUCAGGUCCAUUAAUAAUACAGGCUUGUGUUGUCUUCAGGUCCAGUAAUAAUACAGGCUUGUGUUGUCUUCAGGUCCAUUAAUAAUACAGGCUUGUGUUGUCUUCAGGUCCAUUAAUAAUACAGGCUUGUGUUGUCUUCAGGUCCAUUAAUAAUACAGGCUUGUGUUGUCUUCAGGUCCAUUAAUAAUACAGGCUUGUGUUGUCUUCAGGUCCUGUAA